rnacentral:tRNA from 1 species
UGACAACAAAACUGGCUGUUAUCACCGGGAUGGCUGAGUGGUUAAGGCGUUGGACUUAAGAUCCAAUGGACAGGUGUCCGCGUGGGUUCGAGCCCCACUCCCGGUAAGCGUUGGUGUGUACUUUGACGUUUGCGGUUUCUGCCGCAGAGUUGGAAGCCAGGUAUGCUUACAUAAAAACUAAUAUGACAACCUUCUCACUUUGCGUGUAAACGCUUCAAAUAAUAACGAAGGUUAUUAAACAAUAUUCUGCCCAACACUAC